CGUUUUAACAAACCUUUUUUUUUGGUCCUUAAUAAUUUGUCUAUUUGCAUUUUAGUGAGAAGCAAUUAAAGUAUGAUACCUACUUAGUUCCAUAUUCAACAUUUGAAUUGGGUCUUCUUUAUAAACAACAGGAUGAAAGACAAAAAGCUGUAAGAUUUAUAGAAGCUGCAAAAAACAAUUACAAGGACUAUUCCAUGGAAUCCAGAUUACAUUUCAGAAUCCAUGCAGCACUUAGCAGUAUGAAAGUGACUCCUGCUCCAACACCAUGAUGCCUUCUGAAGUUGUUGUCUAACAUGUCUGUACAAGUUAAUGUUUAAAAGCCUACAAAAAUCAUGUAAAUUAUGUAACAAAAAAUGUAGUUUAUAUUUUCUAUCAUUUGUGAUAAUUGAAUGUCUGCCUCAUCAUUGUGAAUGCUUCUUUUUUCUAUGCUUCAUUUCCAUAUUUCUGCUUAACAUUUAAGAGGAAACCUAUUUUAUUUAUAGAAAGAUUAAUGCUUGAAACAAUAGGGGAAUAUUAAAAAUUGCUGGUACAAUAAAGAAUAAUUCAAACAUUUAUUUUUUUAUGGAAAUACUAAUAUUGUUUAUGCAUGAAACUGUACAAUACAUUUGGUAAUAGUUUCAGCAUUGCCUAAAGGGUUGUAUUUCUGCAAUACCUUUAUUAUGUAAUAGGAUUAAAAAAAUUGGCUGCUGGUAGCCCUAGAUGCUGUAUCUGGAUUUGAAGCUUAGUUUUACAUACCAAAGACCAAAUUACCAUACUGUAGCAAAAAUAAUGCUUCAAGUCAUUUCAUGAAUGUUAGCUUGCAUUCAGUGCAAUAUCCUGACCCAAUCUCUAAAGAUAGUUAGGAAAGGACUUUGAGUUUUGUUCAAUAACCUAGGAGUGUUUUUAAAAUAUAGGACGAAAAUAUUUAUCAGUGAAAAGGGUUAUAGUAAAGCAAAAACCAAACAGUAGAAAUGUUUCAGUUUUUUGUUCCAUUUUAUCUAUUUAAUUCAGCAACCUUGCAGGGAAUUCACUAUAAAAAUAUGCAGCUAAUGUUCUGAAGAUUCUUAUGCCCACCUCAUCAGAGGUGGGAUUCACUUACCUUUCCUACCGGUUCGCAAAUGUGAAUGUGUGUGCACACACUAGCUUCGCCUGCCCGCGCCUCAUCGAUGCAUGCGCACCACCACUUGCGCAUGUGCAGUGCUCACAUUACGUCGGGGUGGGUCAGCGGAACCUCCCGCAGCCGCUGCUACUGGUUCGCCCAAACUUGAGAGAACCAGCUAAAUACCAUCUCUGUCUCUCAUUAACACUGGAGGUCAGCGGGUUUGAUUCUAUUUUCUUCCAUAUAUUGCAGCAAAAUUCUCAAAUCCCAAUUUCAUAUUUCUUAUGAAAUUGGUAUCCAUAAUGUUUAUUUAGCAUAUUGUCUUGAUCAGAUUUUUUAAAAUGUUUUGCAGAAACUAGUAAUUAAAUAUUUUUAUUCUUCAUCUUAGUCUCUUUUUAAUAUAUAUGUGUUACGUUGCAGUAUUUUAUGUCACAGAGUCUGGAGGCAAAUGACCAUGUUUGAGGAUUUAUAAAUGUUACCUGUCUAGGUUUAGUGUUUUCCCAUAAGAAUAAAAAUGUGACUAAUCAAGAAUGUCUAUUUAAUGACCAUAACUGUCUAUAAAAGAUAUUUAUUGGUUUCAUAUCUAUUAUAGCUGUUUGAGAUUAGUUUUUUUCCCCUUGUUUUUGUCUUUCUGUAUUUAAAUUAUUUUAUCAGCUGCUAAAUGAAUUGAAAAGCUG